rnacentral:rRNA from 1 species
CAUGCAAGUCGAGCGCCCGCAAGGGCGCGGCAAACGGGUGAGUAACACGUGGGUAACCUACCUUAAAGUGGGGAAUACCCCCGAGAAAUCGGGGCUAAUACCCCAUAGUCCCCUGGAAGUGCAAUUCAACCAGGGUAAAGCUUCGGCGCUUUAAGAUGGGCCUGCGGCCUAUCAGCUAGUUGGUGAGGUAAAUGCUCACCAAGGCUAUGACGGGUAGCUGGUCUGAGAGGACGGCCAGCCACAAUGGCACUGAGACACGGGCCAUACUCUUACGGGAGGCAGCAGUUAGGGAUCUUCCGCAAUGGGCGAAAGCCUGACGGAGCGACGCUGCGUGGAUGAUGAAGGCCUUCGGGUCGUAAAAUCCUUUUACGGGGGACGAUAAUGACG